AACGAACGCUGGCGGCAUGCCUAACACAUGCAAGUCGAACGAGACCUUCGGGUCUAGUGGCGCACGGGUGCGUAACGCGUGGGAACCUGCCCUUAGGUUCGGAAUAACUCCCCGACAGGGGUGCUAAUACCGGAUAAUGUCUUCGGACCAAAGAUUUAUCGCCUUUGGAUGGGCCCGCGUUGGAUUAGCUAGUUGGUAGGGUAAAAGCCUACCAAGGCGACGAUCCAUAGCUGGUCUGAGAGGAUGAUCAGCCACACUGGGACUGAGACACGGCCCAGACUCCUACGGGAAGCAGCAGUGGGGAAUAUUGGACAAUGGGCGAAAGCCUGAUCCAGCAAUGCCGCGUGAGUGAUGAAGGCCGUAGGGUUGUAAAGCUCUUUUACCCGGGAUGAUAAUGACAGUACCGGGAGAAUAAGCGCCGGCUAACUCCGUG
rnacentral:rRNA from 1 species